UGGUCAUAAAAUAACCAUACAAAAGUGGUAAAAAUGUUUAAUUCAUUACUAAAUAACAAAGUAAAACACGCAAAACAAGUGUUCGAUGAGGUAAAAGAACAUAUUAAAUCUACAGCGAAAGAAGCACAAAAAAAUAUAAAUUAUCCAUUUUGUAAAGCACCAUGUAAUAUAGAAAAUAUAAAAAACACAAUUUUUAUUAAUGAAGAAGAAAUAAUUAUAAAUAAAAAUUUUUAUAAAAAUAUAUUUAGUAAUAAAAAAAAUGACAUAAGACAAAAUAAUAAUAAUAGUACUAAUAAUAAGGAUAAAAACCUUGAUAGUUGUCUUGAUAACACUAUUACUCCUAUUAGUACUAAAAAUAGUAGUCAAAAACAAACAAAUAAACAAAAUGAUAAUAUUUUUACAUGUAAUGAAAAUAAUAUAGUAAUAACAGGGGAUUAUAAUUUUGAUUUCCAAGUUGAAAUAGUAAAUGAAAAUGAAGAAAAUAAAAUUAUUGUCAAUGCAUAUGACAAAUUAAAAAAAGUAAAAAUACCAUGUACAUAUAAAUGGUCUAAAUUAUAUUAUAAUAAAUUAUGUAACACUAUAGAAAACAGUUUAACUUAUAAUAAAAAUAAUAGUAAUAAUAGUAAUUCGGAUGAAAUAAUUAAUAAUAAUUUUUGUCAAAAUAAUGAUAACAAUAUUAAACAUAUUAUUACUGUUAAUAAUAAUAAUAAUAAUAUUUAUGAAAAUGAAUAUACAUUAACAUCUGAAGAUAUAGGUAUGGUCAUAUUUGUAGAAUGUUCUUAUAUACCAAGCGAACAAGUAAAUGUUUUUUCUGAAUCAUCCCAAUUUGAAAUAAACAAUAAUUCUGCUGAAGAUUUAAAAAAUAAUAACAACAACAACAAUAAUAAUAAUAAUUGCUAUAAUAUAAAUAAUAACACAUCCAUGAUUAGUAGUUCUAGUAGUGAUAGUAGCAACAGUGGGUAUAACACCAUUUACAAUAAUAUAUAUACAAAAUCAAAUAGCUCAACACAAAAUAGAUUAAAUAAUGUUAGUAAUAUAAAAAAUAGAAGUAGUAAUAAUAAGUAUUAUGGAGUAGCAAAAGCAGAAAUAGGUCCUAUAAAUUUAAGUGAAAAAACAAAAAUAAUGUUAGAAGAUAUAAUACAUAAUGACACAAUAAAAUAUCCUAUAUAUAUAUUAAAAAAGGGAGAUAACAAUAAUGCUAAAAAUAUUAGUAAUAACAGUAAUAACAAUAAUAACAAUAAUAACAAUGAUUUUGAAAAUAUAAAAAGGUAUAAUAAUGACAGGAAUUAUGAUAGCCAUUACAAUAGCUAUGAAAAUGAUGAAAAAUAUGUAGAAAGUUUUAAUAAUAAUUCUUUUUAUACAUAUGAUCAUAAUAACAUGAACAAUAAUAAUGUAAAUCAUAUAAAUAAUAACAAUAAUUACAAUAUUAGUGAAAAUCUAAUGGUUUAUAAUACAGAACAAAAUGAAAAUGAUAGUAUUUAUAUAUUACAUAUACAUAAAAACGAAAUAAAAAUAAUUAAUCAGAAUAAUAAAAAAAAAAAAAUUUUGUCUUAUAGUUAUAAUACAAUUUACCCUUACAUCCAAUUUAUAAAUAAAAAUAAAAAAGAUUUUUUAUUAUAUACAAAUAAAAAUGAAUAUUUCUAUUGUAGAUGUUUAUAUAGAAAACAUCUUGAUCUUAUUUCUAUUCUUCUCAAAUAUAUGCAUGCUAAUUUAAUAAUUAUAAAUGAAUAUAUCUUUAAUAAUAUAAAUGAUAACUUUGAAAAUACAAGAGUUAAAAACAUUUUUAAUAAUGUUGAUGUAAAUUACAUUUUAGAAAAUAUAAAUAAAGAAUUACUAGUCAAUCAAAAAUUAAACCAACAAUAUAAAAAUAAAUUAACUAAAAUACAAAUUGAAAAAAAUAUGCUUGAAGAGGAUAUGAAAAACACAAUAGAGGCUUUUCAAAUACAGUUGGACACGGUAAAAAAAGUUAAAGACGGGAACGAGUUGGAUAAAAAAAGCGAACAGUUAAUGAAAGAAAUAGAAAUAUUACAAGAAAAAUAUAGGAACGUAGAUUUAUUUUUUAAAAAUAAAUAUGAGCUUUUAUUAGGCGACAUUGAGAAAUAUAAAAAAAUUAUCCAAGAAAAUAAGUCUAAAACAAAUUCGAAUGAGGAAGAGAAACUACGAACAAAGCUGCAAUGUGUUGAAAAAGAAAAGAUCGAAUUACUAAACGAAAAUAAAAAAAUAAAUAAUUUAUAUAUUGAAGAAAAAAAGAAUAAGACAGAGUUACAAAAUAAAUUGGAAGCUUUAAAUUUAAAACUGGAUAAAGUUAAUAAAUCUUUACAGAAUGAAAAACUAGAAGAGAAAAACUACUAUCAACAGUUAAAAGAGUUGGAAGAAUUAAAAAAAAACAACACGACGCUAAAAAAAGAAAAUAUAAAAAUAUCAAAUGAGCUUAAUAUAUUACUAACAGACAAAAAUAGAUUAACAAAAAUGGUUGACUCUUUAACGAAAGACAUUGAGAAAUCCAAAACUGGCACAUGUAUAAGAAGCCUAAACAAUAAAAUGGAAAUAGAACAUAAUGAAAAAUUAUUAAAAGAAGUUACAUCUUUAAGGGAUGAAAAUGAGCUACUUAAAAAGAGAAUUAAAAAAAUGGCAAAUUUUAAUACCUCGACCGCAUCUUAAUAUUUUUUCUAUACGCGUAUUGUUUUAUAAGCUCUGUACGUUUUGUUUUUUUACAUUUCAUUUUUUUACGUUUCAUUUUUUUACGUUUCGUUUUUUUACGUUUUGUUUUUUUACGUUUCGUUUUUUUACGUUUCGUACUUUUUUUUUUUUUUAUGUUUUUUUUUUUAAGUUUCGUACUUUUUUUUUUGUUUUUUUUUUUUUACGUUUAGUACAUUUUGUCCUAUUUUGUCCUAUUUUGUCCUAAUUUGUCCUAUUUUGUUCUAUUUUGUUCUAUUUUGCAUUAUUUUGCUCUAUUUUGUUUACGUCUGGUCGUUUUGUCAUAUUUUGUUUACUUUUCGUGCGUUUUGUCUUAUUUGUUAAGUUUUUUUUUUUUUGUACGUUCUGUAUGCAUUUUUUUGUUUACACCAUUCUUUUUAAAUAAUUUAUGACUUGAUUGACAAUACUACAAGGUGGCACAUAAAGACCACUAAUCAGUGAAAAAUUAGUUCAUUCUUAUUUUUUUAAAAAGUAAAAAAAAAGUGACAAAAAAAAAAAAAGUGACAAAAAAAAAAAAAGUGACUAAAAAAAAAGUACUAAAAUACGUUUUUUUAAUUUUUCAUUACCCUCAUUUGAACACAUCAUCUUUUGAUUCUUACUAGGAACUUAAAUACAUGAAU
rnacentral:lncRNA from 1 species